UAAAGAAAUGAUACUGAUCGACUUUGGGGUCUUAACAAAAACUUGGGUAAACAAAUUAACUCUUUGGGUUAAUGAAGAAAAGUUUCAAUCGAUUGCUCCUCAUCGGACACUUUGGGUCUCCGAUCUUCAAAUCAGUGCUCCAAAUUUUCAAAUAAGUGCUGUGAAUCUUCAAAUUAGUGCUUAAGUGCAUCUCAAAAUUAACAAAAACUUUGCGUUAGUGUCGACUGCAUCUCAAAUUGGUGCUCCAAUCGACUACUCCGACUAUCCGCUCCGACCACCAGUGCUCUGAUCGACUACUUCUCCGACUACGAGUGCUUUGACCACUUUUGAUUGAACUCUAGCCAUCUAUUGAAACAGGUUCAGGUGCUCAGGUUCCGCAGUGAGAGUGAUUUCAAGCACCUCUAUUUACAUCCGACAGUUGGUUCAGGUGCUCAUUUUCCGCAGCGUGAGUGAUUUCGAUCAUCUCCAUCUACAUGCAACAGUUGGUGAGUCCUCAUAGUUCAGGGACUUAGUUAUUCAGACUUAUUAGCUUAUUAGUUUAUAUGAUUCGGUAUUCUUUUUAGACAGUUCUAGUCAGUUGUAGGUUUGUCCAGUGACUCUCUAGUUAUUAGUAGUAGAGGCUUGUUAAACUGCUAGAUAUGAUUCAGAUUAUUUAGUUUUGGUUGUCCAAACUCUUAAGUCUAUUAUCUCAGAUGUUAUGAUUAAGAAAUUCUCAGUUAGUUCAGACAGAUUUUCGUAUUUAGUAUAAUUUUAUACAUAUAUUUCCGCUAUGAUAUGAUUCAGACUCAGUAGAAGGCAGACAGGGUUAGCUUAAGGCUACUCGUAGUCUUGAGCACCCUGUGACAUCUAGAGACUAGAUUUCGAGGCAUUACAAUGGGUUUCCAAGAUGUUAUUGAGCUCUCCUUCUUAUUUCUACUACAAGUCUGCACAUCUUUUUGGUUCUUGACCUAGAGUUGAAGAUUUGAAGGUGGUUUUUAGAUCCUUGUACAGUCAUAAAGAACGAGUAAACCAUCAACAAUAAUUUUAAGAACUUGUGUGAUCAUCUGUUGGAUAAAUAGUCUUCAUUUGCGUAGCUUCCCUUAUAGAAUUCAGGAGUUGUUACUCCUUAAUAUAGAAUAUCAUGCUCUGGUUCUCUAUGCAGCUAUAUGCAUUAGGCGACAUCCAAACCAUUCAUAAUAGAAAAGAAAAAGAAAUGAACAAAAUAUUUGUUUCAAUUGACACAAAGCAGAACAAUUUAUAGCAGAUGUAAAUGACACAAGAAAAUAUAGAGCAGAUAAAGAAAAAUGAAGUGGCAGAACAUACUGAUGAUCCUUACUGCAACAUAACUGAUAUGCGUAACUUUGUAAGCUGUCUUAUGUCAAAAUCCUUCUAUUCCUUUUGUCCUCUAUUUCCCCUAACAUGGGUUCAUCAGCAGAGGUAGUUAAAGAGAGAUAUUAGCAAUGCGAUGCUUGUACACAAUGCGUUAAAACAACACAUAUGAUCCAAAAACUAGCUCCUCCACCUUCUCAUAUCACCCAAAACAGGUCUUCCCCUAUCGAUUUCUUAUCGAGUAUUAUGCCAUUGGUAUUAAAUAUACGAGCAUUGAUCACAUUGUUAACCCCAAGCCCAAAUUUCCUCAUCAUGGAAGCAUAAGGACCACCAGUGAUAUGACCACCAAUUCCCAAACUAGUACAGAGUCCAGCAGGGAAUCCAAGUGUCUUACUUUUCUUUGAAAUCCUAUAGUAGACUUCACCAACAGUUGCAGCAACCUCAAAGAAACUCAUAAAAUCCUAUAAUACCUAGUUGACUCAUGUGGGAUUGCAUUGGAUCAUAAUAUUUCAGUCAACACCGUGGGGAAGCUUUACUCUGUGUUUUCUGUUUGAACUCCAGACUUUAAAGAUUGGGUACCUAUUUAUCCAAAAAUUAAAAGGUUCAGGCUCUAUGUAUUAUUGGAGUAUGAUUUUGAAUCUACAUGUUCUUAUCCAUGGUAUAUUUCUUUAGUAGUUUUUGGGUGGACUUUUAGAUGUUAACCCUUCUAUGUGUCCCUCAUUGACUUGAACUGAAUUAUGGUUAAAGGUUGAAACUUGUUGUUUGACUAUGUUUAUUUAUUUUUAUGAGCUUUACUCAAUAUUUUCUAUUUUAGAUUGGACUAUUUGGAUGUGUAUUAGCACAUCCUCUAAGAAACUCGUAACUGUUUCCUAAUUCUCUAGCAUAUUGAAUUUUAUUGGUGUCGCUGGUACAAUGCCCCAAAGAGUUGAGCAAUGUAUUAUUGAAAUAUACUUGCCUCAUCAACAAGCUCUGUAUGAGGUGUGAUUUUUUUCAGAAUUCAAAGAUGGGUCACAGGAGAUUUUCCUGAUUACAGCAACCAAUUUCUCUUGAGUCAUUAGAUAGUGAUCCUGUUUCCUUAAUUAGUCACAUUAUUCUAUGCCUUCGCAAGUUGUCUCUUUUCUAUCAACACAGUCAACUGUCUCAGUGCAUUUGUUCUUGUCUACAAUAGUAGAAACUCGCAAUGUAUCUUCAGAUAGAUCAAUAUUUUUCUUUCUCAUGGCAUUGUAUGCUUUAUUUACAGUAAAAGAUUCCCACAUCCAGUUUUGUCCAAAAUGAAAUAAUAAAAAUUGUUCAUUGAUGGUUAUUAUCUGGAAUUACAGUACUUAGCCUAUUUUGUAUAUUUUCGGAACUUACAAAUCAGACUUGAACAAUCAUGAAUCAAAGAGGGUGUUCAAGAAAUCACCAGAAAGUUAAGAGCUUUGUUUCAGCUGGAUCAAGGUCUAUCUUCUUUUCUUCUUAUUCUCAUCCAUUUUUCUUCUUCUUUUUUUUUAAUUGGAAGCAGUAGAUAAAAAAACUUCUUGUUGUUUAUGUAUAGUGGUAGCCAGUAAGGACAGUGUUUUUCUUGACAUAUUUAUUCUAAGAGGGCUGCAUCCCCUAUAAUAGCCAGUAAGUGUUUCACUACAAUAUGUGAACCUCUUGUAACAACGUGGCAGGAGGUACUUUCUGAUUCUUACCGUAAUUUUAUCUUUUGUGCUAGCAAUAGAUUUUUAUUUUCAACUCUUUCCCUUUGUUAUGUUUAAGAUAUACAUGGCUUGAUCUGGAAUGCAUUUAAUAUGGAGUUAUAUUAAGUACUUUAUGUUAUGGGUGACAGUUUACAGAAGAUGUUCAUUACAAAUUAGAAAUGAGUGAUAAUUCUGUUGUUCAGAAGUUCCAAGAGUAUGGCUAGACAUUACUAUUUUAAAAGAUGUGUUAUUGAUAUCAAUUUAAGAUCAACUUCUAGGUUUCAUCUUAAUGUUAUAGUUUUCGUGAGAAUAUGAUUGAAUCUUCGGCUGUAAUGUCAUAUAGGGAGAUUUACAACAGAGAUCCAUAUGAUUACUAGCUUCUUUUCUUGACUUUUUAUUUUCACUUUUGGUUGUUUGUCUAUAAAUUUGAAAUAUGUUUUGUGAAGGUCAUUCUCUUUGCCUGAAUUUGUUGAUGAAGUUCAAGAAGUGAUUCGACCAGUUCUUGAAGCUUACUUCAAACUGAGAGGUUUAGAUUUGAACCUGGUCCGGAGUUUACUUUGGAUGCAUUUCAAAAAUAUGUUGAUCAUCUUAAGGCCCAGUACUUCAAGCAAAAUAAAGGACAAUGUGAACCCUUAUUGGAGAACAUUGAGGGUGAAUAUUGGCGGAUGGUCGAGAAACCCAUGAAAGAGAUUAAGGUGCUUUAAGGGGCUGAUUUGUAAACUAAAGUAUUUGGAGGUGGGUUCCCUAAACACAACCAUCAAGUUGGAGCUUCUGACAUAAAGUAUGUAAACUCAGGAUGGAACUUGAAUAAUUUUCCAAGGCUCCCAGGUUCUGUUCUUGCAUAUGAGAGCAGCGAUAUAUCUGGUGUCUUGGUGCCUUGGCUACAUAUUGGAAUGAACUUUUCAUCGUUCUAUUGGUCAGAUAAAUCUUGGUGAUGCCAAGAUCAGUGAAGGAGCUGCAUAGUGUUGGGAUGGAUGGAAACUGAAUGAAGAUAUUAGGAAAUUAUGGACUAUCCUUCCUACUCGAUGUAUUUGGGUGAUUCCGUUGUAGAGGAACCAAAGGUAUUUCAAACAGAAAGCUGAUUCUUUCAUAAGCUUAAGUAUAAACAUUUGCAUUUUUCACUUAAAUUGCAAGCUUUAUGACACAAUCUUUUUAGAUUUUCGUUGCUCCUUAUUAAGGGACUGAGUUAGUUGCUCAUAUAUGUAUCUAGUUGGUGCUUUUCUCAUUAAUAAUGUUAUUUUACUUCUCAAAAGAAUUGAUUAUUAAAGAUUGUUUGUGUUAGUGAGUAUCAAGGACUUUAAAGUUUUCCAGUGCAAUGAGUAGGCUGAGGCACUUGGAGAGAUGUGUCUCGUUGAAGUUAAUCAACUGAACUACCACCUUGUCCUUUGCAUAUGCUAGAUCUACGUGGCUUCCCUGUAAUUGUGACAAAUCUAUUUUUUUCUAAAUGAAGUUCUGCAGUAAAUAAGUAGACUCUCAUAGUGAUUUCGCAAAAUCCUAUUGUCAUAUUGAGAACACUAGACAUCUAUUUGCUCUAAUAUCAUAUUGAAUUAUGUAACUGUGUUAUCUAAAAAUUUAAAAAAUUAAGUUGUUAGAGGGAAUACACUUAUAAUUACAAAUUAAUAAAAUGUGUCUUCAAUAGGUAAGUUUCCUGAUAUGACGUCUUUGAUACCUGCUAGUCCAAACACAUCUUCUGGUUUGUCUUUUGGAAGGCAAAAGGCAAAGGAUCCUGGAAAGGUUUUUGGUGCUGGUGCCACUGGACAAGUUGGUAUCCGCAUUGCUCAGAUACUACUAUGUGAAUUUUAUAGUGUAAGAGUUGGAGUUUCUGACCUUGGUGCAACACAAGAACUAGCUCGUUUAGCCAUUAGCUACAAGGUCGGCUUUUUUGUCCUUUGAAAUAUAGAACUUGUUGGAGUAUUUGCCAUUGAUUGUUCAAAUGAACUAUUGUACUAUAUGUUUUUGGAAAUAUUAACUCAUGAGCUUGGGUUUGGUUGAAUUAGGUUCAUGGUCCACUUUUCUCUAUCAGAGUCAUCUAUAUUGUGUUCACAAUAUUGAGCCUAGAUGUUAUAUUGUUACAAUAUAGAUGUCCAUCAUUUUGUGGUGGGAGGGAAGGAGUGUUAGAAUGUGUCAUUUUCUAUUCUGUUUCUAUCUGAACCUUACAACGCUUGAUCUAUGUGCUCUUUUUAUCAAUAUCCUAUGAUGGGGAAAAGGAGGUAUCGGAACAGUAAAUCAAGUAAACUUAGCAUACACAGAGGUCAGUUGUCUACUUAUAGAUUGUAUUUUAGUAAUUUUUGCCUUUUGAUUUUUCAAUCGCUAGCCACCAAAUUCUUUAUUUUAUUCUGAAGUUCUGAAGCCUGAAGUAACAUACAGGAUUUUAAAAAGCUUUUGCAACUAGCUGUACUUGAAACUAAUCAUAGAAUGGUCUUGAAAAAAGGACAAACUGAUAGCUAUCCAUGUUAUCACCUUCUAUUUAAGCUGUUUUGAACCUUGUGUAAGCCUGUCAAUUUCUUUUUCUUCAGUAAAAAUUAUUUUCUUUAGGUCCUUUAAUCUAUUAACUUCAUCCUUAAUGGGUUAUGGAAAAGCUAGGGGUAAUAGUUCUAAUUUAUAUUAUUUGUUCUCUUU